rnacentral:precursor_RNA from 8 species
CCGGUGCCUCCCCGACACCAUGGCCCUGGCUGAGGUAGUAGUUUGUGCUGUUGGUCGGGUUGUGACAUUGCCCGCUGUGGAGAUAACUGCGCAAGCUACUGCCUUGCUAGUGCUGGUGAUGCUCAGCGCCGCGGAGG